rnacentral:rRNA from 1 species
GACGAACGCUGGCGGCGUGCUUAACACAUGCAAGUCGAACGGAAAGGCCCUGCUAUUGUGGGGUGCUCGAGUGGCGAACGGGUGAGUAACACGUGAGUAACCUGCCCUUGACUUUGGGAUAACUUCAGGAAACUGGGGCUAAUACCGGAUAGGAGCUCCUGCUGCAUGGUGGGGGUUGGAACGUUUCGGCGGUUGGGGAUGGACUCGCGGCUUAUCAGCUUGUUGGUGGGGUAGUGGCUUACCAAGGCUUUGACGGGUAGCCGGCCUGAGAGGGUGACCGGCCACAUUGGGACUGAGAUACGCCCCAGACUCCUACGGGAGGCAGCAGUGGGGAAUAUUGCACAAUGGGCGGAAGCCUGAUGCAGCAACGCCGCGUGCGGGAUGACGGCCUUCGGGUUGUAAACCGCUUUCGCCUGUGACGAAGCGUGAGUGACGGUAAUGAGUAAAGAAGCACCGGCUAACUACGUG